GAUGAACGCUGGCGGCGUGCUUAACACAUGCAAGUCGAACGAAGCACUUUAUUUGAUUUCCUUCGGGACUGAUUAUUUUGUGACUGAGUGGCGGACGGGUGAGUAACGCGUGGGUAACCUGCCUUGUACAGGGGGAUAACAGUUGGAAACGGCUGCUAAUACCGCAUAAGCGCACAGCAUCGCAUGAUGCAGUGUGAAAAACUCCGGUGGUAUAAGAUGGACCCGCGUUGGAUUAGCUAGUUGGUGAGGUAACGGCCCACCAAGGCGACGAUCCAUAGCCGACCUGAGAGGGUGACCGGCCACAUUGGGACUGAGACACGGCCCAAACUCCGACGGGAGGCAGCAGUGGGGAAUAUUGCACAAUGGGCGAAAGCCUGAUGCAGCGACGCCGCGUGAGCGAAGAAGUAUUUCGGUAUGUAAAGCUCUAUCAGCAGGGAAGAUAAUGACGGUACCUGACGAAGAAGCACCGGCUAAAUACGUG
rnacentral:rRNA from 1 species